UGGGGAAUUUUGGACAAUGGACGCAAGUCUGAUCCAGCCAUGCCGCGUGCGGGAAGAAGGCCUUCGGGCUGUAAAGCUCUUUCAGCCGGGAAGAAAACGCAUGGGUUAAUACCCUGUGUGGAUGACGGUACCGGAAUAAGAAGCACCGGCUAACUACGUGCCAGCAGCCGCGGUAAUACGUAGGGUGCGAGCGUUAAUCGGAAUUACUGGGCGUAAAGCGUGCGCAGGCGGUUUUGUCAGACAGGCGUGAAAUCCCCGGGCUCAACCUGGGAACUGAGUUUGUGACUGCAAGGCUAGAGUAUGGCAGAGGGAGGUGGAAUUCCACGUGUAGAAGUGAAAUGCGUAGAUAUGCGGAGGAACACCGAUGGCGAAGGCAAUCCCCUGGACCUGUACUGACGCUCAUGCACGAAAGCGUGGGGAGCAAACA
rnacentral:rRNA from 1 species